rnacentral:rRNA from 1 species
UCAGAUUGAACGCUGGCGGCAUGCUUUACACAUGCAAGUCGAACGGUAACAGGGAGCUUGCUCCGCUGACGAGUGGCGAACGGGUGAGUAAUGCAUCGGAACGUGCCGUGGAAUGGGGGAUAACGUAGCGAAAGUUACGCUAAUACCGCAUACGCCCUGAGGGGGAAAGCGGGGGAUCGUAAGACCUCGCGUUAUACGAGCGGCCGAUGUCGGAUUAGCUAGUUGGUGGGGUAAAGGCCUACCAAGGCGACGAUCCGUAGCGGGUCUGAGAGGAUGAUCCGCCACACUGGGAACUGAGACACGGCCCAGACUCCUACGGGAGGCAGCAGUGGGGAAUUUUGGACAAUGGGCGCAAGCCUGAUCCAGCCAUGCCGCGUGAGUGAAGAAGGCCUUCGGGUUGUAAAGCUCUUUCAGACGGAAAGAAAACUUCCGGGUUAAUACCCUGGGAGGAUGACGGUACCGUAAGAAGAAGCACCGGCUAACUACGUGCCAGCAGCCGCGGUAAUACGUAGGGUGCGAGCGUUAAUCGGAAUUACUGGGCGUAAAGCGUGCGCAGGCGGUGAUGUAAGACAGAUGUGAAAUCCCCGGGCUCAACCUGGGAACUGCGUUUGUGACUGCAUCACUCGAGUACGGCAGAGGGAGGUGGAAUUCCGCGUGUAGCAGUGAAAUGCGUAGAGAUGCGGAGGAACACCGAUGGCGAAGGCAGCCUCCUGGGCCAGUACUG